CCCCUAGAUGUUCUGGGCCGCACGCGCGCUACACUGAACAGUUCAACAAGUCUUAACCUUGGCCGAUAGGUCUGGGUAAUCUUUGAACGCUGUUCGUGAUUGGGAUAGACCUUUGCAAUUAUGGGUCUUCAACGAGGAAUUCCUAGUAAACGCAAGUCAUCAGCUUGCAUUGAUUACGUCCCUGCCCUUUGUACACACCGCCCGUCGCACCUACCGAUUGAAUGGUCCGGUGAAAUCUCGGGACGGCGGUUUGGUCGCUUGCGUCCGACUGCUGAAACUUGAUUAAACCAUAUCAUUUAGAGGAAGGUGAANUCGUANCA
rnacentral:rRNA from 1 species